rnacentral:rRNA from 1 species
GAUGAACGCUGGCGGCGUGCCUAAUACAUGCAAGUCGAGCGAACAGAUGAGGAGCUUGCUCCUCUGACGUUAGCGGCGGACGGGUGAGUAACACGUGGAUAACCUACCUAUAAGACUGGGAUAACUUCGGGAAACCGGAGCUAAUACCGGAGAAUAUAUUGAACCGCAGGGUUCAAUAGUGAAAGACGGCUUUGCGGGCAGUUAUAGAGGGAUCCGGGCCGCAUGAGCUAGUUGGGAAGGUAACGGCUUACCAAGGCAACGAUGCGUAGCCGAGCUGAGAGGGUGAUCGCCCACACUGGAACUGGGACGCGGUCCAGACUCCUACGGGAGGCACCAGUCGGGAAUCUUCCGCAAUAGGCGAAAGCCUGACGGAGCAACGCCGCGUGAGUGAUGAAGGUCUUCGGAUCGUAAAGCUCUGUUAUUAGGGAUGAACAAAUGUGUAAGUAACUAUGCCCGUCUUGACGGUACCUAAUCAGAAAGCCCCGGCUAACUACGUG